UGGGGAAUAUUGGACAAUGGGCGAAAGCCUGAUCCAGCAAUGCCGCGUGAGUGAUGAGGGCCUUAGGGUUGUAAAGCUCUUUUACCAGGGAUGAUAAUGACAGUACCUGGAGAAUAAGCUCCGGCUAACUCCGUGCCAGCAGCCGCGGUAAUACGGAGGGAGCUAGCGUUGUUCGGAAUUACUGGGCGUAAAGCGCACGUAGGCGGCGACUCAAGUCAGAGGUGAAAGCCCGGGGCUCAACCCCGGAACUGCCUUUGAAACUAGGUUGCUAGAAUCUUGGAGAGGUCAGUGGAAUUCCGAGUGUAGAGGUGAAAUUCGUAGAUAUUCGGAAGAACACCAGUGGCGAAGGCGACUGACUGGACAAGUAUUGACGCUGAGGUACGAAAGCGUGGGGAGCAAACA
rnacentral:rRNA from 1 species